rnacentral:rRNA from 1 species
AGAACGAACGCUGGCGGCAUGCCUAACACAUGCAAGUCGAACGAGACCUUUCGGGGUCUAGUGGCGCACGGGUGCGUAACGCGUGGGAAUCUGCCCCUUGGUUCGGAAUAACAGUUAGAAAUGACUGCUAAUACCGGAUGACGACGUAAGUCCAAAGAUUUAUCGCCGAGGGAUGAGCCCGCGUAGGAUUAGCUAGUUGGUGAGGUAACGGCUCACCAAGGCGACGAUCCUUAGCUGGUCUGAGAGGAUGAUCAGCCACACUGGGACUGAGACACGGCCCAGACUCCUACGGGAGGCAGCAGUGGGGAAUAUUGGACAAUGGGCGAAAGCCUGAUCCAGCAAUGCCGCGUGAGUGAUGAAGGCCUUAGGGUUGUAAAGCUCUUUACCAGGGAUGAUAAUGACAGUACCUGGAGAAUAAGCUCCGGCUAACUCCGUGCCAGCAGCCGC